UAUCAUCCAUAUAGACUUCUAUAUUUCAUCCUAUCUAGUCUUUGAAGAUCUUGUUCAUGAGGUGCUGAUAAGUUACACCUAUAUUCUUUAAGCCAAAGGACAUAACCCUAUAACAAAAGAGACCUUGGUCAAUAAAAAAAGUUAUUUUUUUUCUCAUCUUUAGGUGUCAUUUAGAUUUGAUUAUAUUCAAAAAAGGCAUCU
rnacentral:lncRNA from 1 species